rnacentral:rRNA from 1 species
AGAGUUUGAUCAUGGCUCAGGAUUAACGCUGGCGGCAUGCCUAAUACAUGCAAGUCGAACGAGGGUAGCAAUACCCUAGUGGCGAACGGGUGAGUAACACGUGGGAAAUCUGCCUUUAAGUCGAGGAUAACUGUUGGAAACGACAGCUAAAACUGGAUAGGUUAUUUGGGGGCAUCCUUAAAUAAUUAAAAGUCCUUUACGGGAAUGCUUAAAGAUGAUCCUGCGUCGCAUUAGCUAGUUGGUGAGGUAGCGGCUCACCAAGGCGACGAUGCGUAGCUGUGCUGAGAGGCAAAACAGCCACACUGGGACUGAGACACGGCCCAGACUCCUACGGGAGGCAGCAGUAGGGAAUUUUCGGCAAUGGGCGAAAGCCUGACCGAGCAAUGCCGCGUGAAUGAAGAAGGUCUUCGGAUUGUAAAAUUCUGUUAUUUGUGGAAGAAGGGUAUUUGGAGGAAAUGCCAAGUAUUUGACGGUACCAAAUGAGAAAGCCCCGGCUAACUAUGUGCCAGCAGCCGCGGUAAUACAUAGGGGGCGAGCGUUAUCCGGAAUUAUUGGGCGUAAAGCGUGCGUAGGUGGUCAGUUAAGUCUGACGUGAAAUCCCUUGGCUUAACCAGGGGGGGUCGUUGGAAACUGGCUGACUUGAAUCCAGAAGGGGUAAGUGGAAUUCCAUGUGUAGCGGUAAAAUGCAUAGAGAUAUGGAGGAACACCAGUGGCGAAGGCGGCUUACUGGUCUGGAAUUGACACUGAGGCACGAAAGCGUGGGUAGCAAACAGGAUUAGAUACCCUGGUAGUCCACGCCGUAAACGAUGAGCACUAAGUGUCGGACGAAAGUUCGGUGCUGUAGUUAACGCAUUAAGUGCUCCGCCUGGGGAGUACGGUCGCAAGACUGAAACUCAAAGGAAUUGACGGGGACUCGCACAAGCGGUGGAGCAUGUGGUUUAAUUCGACGCAACGCGAAAAACCUUAC